rnacentral:rRNA from 1 species
UACGAAGGGGGCUAGCGUUGCUCGGAUUUACUGGGCGUAAAGGGCGCGUAGGCGGAUAGUUACGUUGGGGGUGGAAGCCCGGGGCUCAACCUCGGAAUUGCCUUCAAUACUGGCUAUCUUGAGUGUGAGAGAGGUGUGUGGAACUCCGAGUGUAGAGGUGAAAUUCGUAGAUAUUCGGAAGAACACCAGUGGCGAAGGCGACACACUGGCUCACUACUGACGCUGAGGCGCGAAAGCGUGGGGAGCAAACAGG